rnacentral:misc_RNA from 1 species
UACCGACCCAAGGCAAACAUGCUUGCGCUCGUCUCCGAUCAAGUGAAGUCGCUCCGGUCGCUGGUGUACGACACCUGCAUCGUACCGAUGACCUCACGGUGGUACCGGGAGGUGCUACUGGAGUGCCCGACGAAUAGCGUCAUGCUGGACAUCGGCAUCGGCACCGCUGCAAGCCUCAUCGCCAACCGUGAUAUUAUCGUGAGCAAGAAGAUGACGGUAACAGGAGUAGACUACGACCUUGCCUACGUGCGCAGCGCUCAAAUGAACGUCGCAGCGUGUGGCGGCCGGUUGCAGGAUCUGGUGAGGAUCGAGCAGGCGGACAUCCACGACUAUAACAAGUCGCAUACAAAGAAGUUCGACAUCCUUUACUUUUCGGGAAGCUUCAUGAUCAUUCCGUCGCAGGUGGGUGCGCUGCGGCACUGUGUGCAGAUGCUCCGUAGUCCAGUGCCCCAGGUGCCGGGAGGAUGCAACAUCUUCUUCACACAAACCUUCGAAAGGCGCACGUUCAUUGGCCAGUACGUCACACCGCUCGUGAAGCGCGUGCUGAAGGUGAUCACAACAAUCGACUUUGGCGAGGUGACGUACGAGGAUGAAUUCCGCGCCGCCCUUGAAGAGGCGGAUGUGGAGAUUGUGGGUGUGAAGCCUAUCCAUGCCUCGUAUUAUCGAACCCAAGCGCUUGUUAUGGCUCGUCCACGCGUGACAAUGGAGCAUGAGUGAGCGCCGUGACUCUCGUUCUCGCUGUUCUUGUUUUUUUUUUUCCUUUUCACAGAGCGAGCGAGAGAGUGCAUACUGCGAACUUGGUUGUACUGGGGAGCGUCCCGAGUCAGUGUUGUCGUGGGAAAAGGGUUGCGCCAUCACAACGAGGUGAGGCAUUGGAGUGUCUAGGAGACGGCGCUCUUUCUAUCACCGUCGGACGGGGUACCCACAAAAGACGGAGAAAGAAAAGCAUAAUCUCGUUUAUGGGCGAAUUCUCUCUCCGUUGCCGCGUUGCCGUUUCUCAGUCAUGUGACACAAUAGUGGCAACGUGGUGAAGCGAACGGUAGUAAUAAAAGCACCUCACAUGUUGCGCAGCUUGGUUGCGGGUGCGAAGCACUGAAUCACUUCACCGUAAACACGCAGCUCUUUGUGUUACUGUUCACUGCAUGUACACCUCUCCCUUUCUCCUACACUCCGCCCAACCGCUCGUACUGCAUGGCACUUCAUGUAUACACGUGUGCAUGUGUCUUCUGCAAAACAAAG